UUUUAAUAUAUUUUUUUUUACCUCUUCCUUAACGUUCACGUUAUCCUAAACUCGUCCGAACCACAUAAACUGCCCAAACCCAGGAACGAGAUAAACAAAACAAAGCUGACACCCCAUUAACCCAAAAGAACCAACACGACCACAAUCUGCUCCCUAAAAUCCUAGAAAGCUUCAAAUCAAAAUUAUCAAGAAGCAGUAGCUGAGCAGGAGCAGUUCAAUGUGUGUCAGGCUCUAUACCACUGUUGGUGGCUGAGCCAAACUUUGAACAGAUUGUGGAUGUCUCUGGCUUUUACCGUGGGAGGCACAGCAUGUGACCAUUUCCAAGGCAGGUAAAGAUUCCAAGCGGAACGGAAACAUUUUCGUUGCUUUGUUAAACCCCUCUGUCUCUUUGUGUUCAGUUUUCAAUGUUUGAAGAGCUUUUAUGGAACAAUGUUAGUACUAUAUUCUUUUAUAAAUCUUCUCAAUACCUUAUACAAAUUAAGUAAGAAAAGUUGUAGGAAGAAGUUGGAAGAGGAUUUAAAAUUUCUCAUUCUUGCCUAACUCUGUUCUACCAAAAUAUAACACAGCGUAAUGUUGGCGUAUAUGGUAAUUUUGUUAUUAUAGUACAUAUUUGUUGAGAAUAUUGCCGUUGUAAACAAGUCUCUUUUUGGAUUGUGGACUUUAUACUAUGCGGGCUUUUCCGUUCAGUUUUA